rnacentral:rRNA from 1 species
AUUGAGGAAGCUUGCUUCUGAUUGAUAACAUUUGAGUGAGUGGCGGACGGGUGAGUAACACGUGGGUAACCUGCCCUAAAGUGGGGGAUAACAUUUGGAAACAGAUGCUAAUACCGCAUAAAACCUAGCACCGCAUGGUGCAAGGUUGAAAGAUGGUUUCGGCUAUCACUUUAGGAUGGACCCGCGGUGCAUUAGUUAGUUGGUGAGGUAAAGGCUCACCAAGACCGUGAUGCAUAGCCGACCUGAGAGGGUAAUCGGCCACACUGGGACUGAGACACGGCCCAGACUCCUACGGGAGGCAGCAGUAGGGAAUCUUCCACAAUGGACGAAAGUCUGAUGGAGCAACGCCGCGUGAGUGAAGAAGGUUUUCGGAUCGUAAAACUCUGUUGUUGGAGAAGAACGUAUUUGAUAGUAACUGAUCAGGUAGUGACGGUAUCCAACCAGAAAGCCACGGCUAACUACGUGCCAGCAGCCGCGGUAAUACGUAGGUGGCAAGCGUUGUCCGGAUUUAUUGGGCGUAAAGCGAGCGCAGGCGGUUUCUUAAGUCUGAUGUGAAAGCCUUCGGCUCAACCGAAGAAGUGCAUCGGAAACUGGGAAACUUGAGUGCAGAAGAGGACAGUGGA